UACAGAGGUGGCAAGCGUUGUUCGGAAUUACUGGGCGUAAAGGGCGCGUAGGCGGCCUUGUAAGUCCUGUGUGAAAUCCCCCGGCUCAACUGGGGAACUGCACAGGAGACUGCUUGGCUUGAGUUCGGGAGAGGGAAGCGGAAUUCCGGGUGUAGCGGUGAAAUGCGUAGAUAUCUGGAGGAACACCGGUGGCGAAGGCGGCAUCCUGGACCGGUAUUGACGCUGAGGCGCGAAAGCUAGGGGAGCAAACGGG
rnacentral:rRNA from 1 species